ensembl:lncRNA
CUAUAGACCAGAGCCCUAUUCCCUAUAUAGAACACUACUAUAGACCAGAGCCCUAUUCCCUAUAUAGAACACUACUAUAGACCAGAGCCCUAUUCCCUAUAUAGAACACUACUAUAGACCAGAGUCCUAUUCCCUAUAUAGAACACUACUAUAGACCAGAGCCCUAUUCCCUAUAUAGAACACUACUUUAGACCAGAGCCCUAUUCCCUAUAUAGUGCACUACUAUAGACCAGAGCCCUAUUCCUUAUAUAGUGCACUAAUUUUGACCAGAGGCCUAUUCCCUAUAUAGAACACUACUGUUGACCAGGGCCCUAUUCCCUAUAUAGUGCACUAAUUUUGACCAGAUCCCUAUUCCCUAUAUAGUGCACUAAUUUUGAUCAGAGACCUAUUCCCUAUAUAGAACACUACUGUUGAUCAGGGCCCUAUUCCCUAUAUAGUACACUACUGUUGAUCAGGGCCCUAUUCCCUAUAUAGUACACUACUGUUGACCAGGGCCCUAUUCCCUAUAUAGUACACUAAUUUUGAUCAGAGGCCUAUUCCCUAUAUAGUGCACUAAUUUUGAUCAGAGGCCUGUGAGGAAUAGGGGGCCAAUUGGGACGCAGACUGUAUGUGAAACUGAUCAGUUUUUAAAUGUUUCUGCGGUUCUUAUUGGUUGUCUGAUUCUCUGACCAUGUCUGUGGUUGUUAUGGUUACCGUCUGAUCCAGUUCAUACAGACUGUUUUGGUUGUUGUUUCUUUGUUCUGUUUAUCUCUCUCUCUUUUUGUGGUUUAACUGUCUGUGGUCAGGUUCUGGCCAAUCAGAUGGGUCCGUGGUCAGGUUCUGGCCAAUCAGAUGGGUCCGUGGUCAGGUUCUGGCCAAUCAGAUGGGUCCGUGGUCAGGUUCUGGCCAAUCAGAUGGGUCCGUGGUCAGGUUCUGGCCAAUCAG